AACGAACGCUGGCGGCAUGCCUAACACAUGCAAGUCGAACGAGACCUUCGGGUCUAGUGGCGCACGGGUGCGUAACGCGUGGGAACCUGCCCUUAUGUUCGGAAUAACUCCCCGAAAGGGGGGCUAAUACCGGAUAAUGUCUUCGGACCAAAGAUUUAUCGCCUUUGGAUGGGCCCGCGUUGGAUUAGCUAGUUGGUAGGGUAAAAGCCUACCAAGGCGACGAUCCAUAGCUGGUCUGAGAGGAUGAUCAGCCACACUGGGACUGAGACACGGCCCAGAAUCCUACGGGAGGCAGCAGUGGGGAAUAUUGGACAAUGGGCGAAAGCCUGAUCCAGCAAUGCCGCGUGAGUGAUGAAGGCCUUAGGGUUGUAAAGCUCUUUUACCCGGGAUGAUAAUGACAGUACCGGGAGAAUAAGCUCCGGCUAACUCCGUG
rnacentral:rRNA from 1 species